UUUGAUUGGUAUGAUAAAAAUUGGGUUUUGGUUCAUUUAACCUAUUAUAUAAAAUUUGGCAGAAAUCAAGUAACGAAUUUGACAGAUCAAUGUGAUUUUAGGAUUUGAAUGAAAGCUUCUAAAUUGCUUUCAACACCCCGUGCGCAGGCACAUUGCACAGCGGUGGGGGAAAUAUAUUGCCAGCUGCCUAUACAUUAAAUAUUCGUUUAUAUUUACCAGUAUAUUAUUUAAUCACGUGGGUACCAACGGUGGCCUCACCUGUGAUGAUUCUGUAUAUCGCUCUGUGUAACCAAAAGCUGAACGCAAUUAUCGCAGUUUUUCUCUACAGUUUGCAUGACAAGGAGUUGUAUUCAUUGGUUUCCGAUGUAUAAAUUAUGCAAACGUUUGGGUCAUUCUCUUGACAACCGGCAAAAGUGAUUUAUGGGGCUAAAGUAUGGGGGAGCGCGAGCUCGCUAUCAUCCAAAGUUGAUUGAAGAACCACAUGCAAAUCAUAAUUUACGUUGGAUUUACUUUUUACUCCGAAGAAACCACAAACAUUAUUUGCCAAUAUCAUAACUGGAGCUGGACAUCUUUGGAGCUGACUGACUGAUCACCACCAGCAUCUUCAAAGGGACCUGGUACUUUGUCAGUGGACAAGGGAAAUUCAUAUUCAGGGUUCUCAAUGGCUAUAAGGUUGGGGGGCAGCUCCUCACUGUCAGAAUCUGAUUCUUGACUUUCAUACUCAGACUCAUUGUCAGAAUUUAAAAAAAAUCUCCAGAAUUUCCACAUUUGAGUUGUCUCCUUUUGAAAGACAUUGCUAAUGCUACAGCUUAACUAACUAGCUACAUACAUAAACAACAACACUUAAUGAUGCAGAGUGGGUGUCACGUGGUUGACUGCUGGCACGGCCACUUGUAUCAAUAAAUCAGAAAAUGUUUUGUGCGGCAAUUAUUUGUGUAUUUACUGUUUUAUUCACGUUUUCAAUUCUAGGUGACAAAUCAUGCAUUCUGAUUCUUGCACAGAUUGUAAUGGGCACAUAUUAUGUCUGUAAAAUACUUUUUUGAAGGUUGUACUGAUUAUGAUGAGCUAAGCUAAUUCCAGCUGUUUGUUGACAUAAAAUGCAUUCUGGGUUUCGCGUCUGUUUGACCGAAGAUGUUAUAACAAUGAGGUGAGUAAGAGUUCACUAAUUAUUUUGAGGACUUCUGGAAAUUAAUGGUGGGAUGUGAACGAUGGUAGAUGACACACCCCUUCAACAUGCAUACUAUAAACAGACCAAACUCAUCUCCUCUUCUCUUAUCUUCGGUUUCUGUGAGGAAAAAAUGCAUGGCGGCGCGCUGAAACUAAUCGUCGGUUUACUUUAAAUUUCUAUAAAAUGUUUUACCUAGUUAUUUCCAUCAAUGGUGAGCUCACCCGUGAUGUGAUUAAUUAUACAUAGUAAUUGCUAUUAGCUAAUUCAUAUUGUAGUUUGUCAGCCGAGAGUUAGAAAAUAUGACUGCUUGUGUUGGGUCAAUCUUUCCUCAGUUAGCGCUAGGACAAAUGUAGCCUACAUUUUUCUGGUUAUGAUGAUUGUGUUAUGCUAUAUAUACUUCUGUGAAUAUCUGAACAUUGCAUCCAAAAAUAAACUGCUCACAUUCUGGACAUAACUUU
ensembl:lncRNA